CAGGUAACAUCAAAUCGUACCCCAAACCGACACAGGUGGUCAGGUAGAGAAUACCAAGGCGCUUGAGAGAACUCGGGUGAAGGAACUAGGCAAAAUGGUGCCGUAACUUCGGGAGAAGGCACGCUGAUAUGUAGGUGAAGUCCCUCGCGGAUGGAGCUGAAAUCAGUCGAAGAUACCAGCUGGCUGCAACUGUUUAUUAAAAACACAGCACUGUGCAAACACGAAAGUGGACGUAUACGGUGUGACGCCUGCCCGGUGCCGGAAGGUUAAUUGAUGGGGUCAGCGCAAGCGAAGCUCUUGAUCGAAGCCCCGGUAAACGGCGGCCGUAACUAUAACGGUCCUAAGGUAGCGAAAUUCCUUGUCGGGUAAGUUCCGACCUGCACGAAUGGCGUAAUGAUGGCCAGGCUGUCUCCACCCGAGACUCAGUGAAAUUGAACUCGCUGUGAAGAUGCAGUGUACCCGCGGCAAGACGGAAAGACCCCGUGAACCUUUACUAUAGCUUGACACUGAACAUUGAGCCUUGAUGUGUAGGAUAGGUGGGAGGCUUAGAAGUGUGGACGCCAGUCUGCAUGGAGCCGACCUUGAAAUACCACCCUUUAAUGUUUGAUGUUCUAACGUUGACCCGUAAUCCGGGUUGCGGACAGUGUCUGGUGGGUAGUUUGACUGGGGCGGUCUCCUCCUAAAGAGUAACGGAGGAGCACGAAGGUUGGCUAAUCCUGGUCGGACAUCAGGAGGUUAGUGCAAUGGCAUAAGCCAGCUUGACUGCGAGCGUGACGGCGCGAGCAGGUGCGAAAGCAGGUCAUAGUGAUCCGGUGGUUCUGAAUGGAAGGGCCAUCGCUCAACGGAUAAAAGGUACUCCGGGGAUAACAGGCUGAUACCGCCCAAGAGUUCAUAUCGACGGCGGUGUUUGGCACCUCGAUGUCGGCUCAUCACAUCCUGGGGCUGAAGUAGGUCCCAAGGGUAUGGCUGUUCGCCAUUUAAAGUGGUACGCGAGCUGGGUUUAGAACGUCGUGAGACAGUUCGGUCCCUAUCUGCCGUGGGCGCUGGAGAACUGAGGGGGGCUGCUCCUAGUACGAGAGGACCGGAGUGGACGCAUCACUGGUGUUCGGGUUGUCAUGCCAAUGGCACUGCCCGGUAGCUAAAUGCGGAAGAGAUAAGUGCUGAAAGCAUCUAAGCACGAAACUUGCC
rnacentral:rRNA from 1 species